rnacentral:rRNA from 1 species
GAAGGCCAGGCUGAAGACUUUGCCGGAUUAGCUGAGAGGUGGUGCAUGGCCGUCGUCAGUUCGUACUGUGAAGCAUCCCGUUAAGUCAGGCAACGAGCGAGACCCACGCCCACAGUUGCCAGCGUACUCUCUGGAGUGACGGGUACACUGUGGGGACCGCCGCUGCUAAAGAGGAGGAAGGAAUGGGCAACGGUAGGUCAGCAUGCCCCGAAUUAUCCGGGCUACACGCGGGCUACAAUGGUCAGGACAAUGGGUAUCGACACCGAGAGGUGGAGGCAAUCUCCUAAACCUGUCCUUAGUUCGGAUUGUGGGCUGCAACUCGCCCACAUGAAGCUGGAAUCCGUAGUAAUCGCGUUUCAAAAUAGCGCGGUGAAUAUGUCCCUGCUCCUU